rnacentral:rRNA from 1 species
GAUGAACGCUAGCGGCAGGCCUAACACAUGCAAGUCGAGGGAGAAGCCCUUUCGGGGGCAGAAACCGGCGCACGGGUGCGUAACGCGUAUGCAACCUACCUUUCACAGGGGGAUAGCCCGAAGAAAUUUGGAUUAAUACCCCAUAAUAUUAUUGGAUGGCAUCAUUUGAUAAUUAAAACUGCGGUGGUGAAUGAUGGGCAUGCGUCCUAUUAGCUAGUUGGAGUGGUAACGGCACCCCAAGGCUACGAUAGGUAGGGGUCCUGAGAGGGAGAUCCCCCACACUGGUACUGAGACAGGGACCAGACUCCUACGGGAGGCAGCAGUGAGGAAUAUUGGUCAAUGGUCGGAAGACUGAACCAGCCAUGCCGCGUGCAGGAAGAAUGCCUUAUGGGUUGUAAACUGCUUUUAUAUGGGAAGAAUAAGGCGUACGUGUACGUUGAUGACGGUACCAUAUGAAUAAGCAUCGGCUAACUCCGUG